rnacentral:lncRNA from 1 species
GGAAGCUUGGGCUUCCCAGAAAAACGUGUAAAUAUAUAGUCGACGAUAUUUUAUCAGCCGUAAGACAUACACGUGCUGGAAGGAAAACAUAAAGAAAUACAUUACCUUAUUUCACAGGAUCACAUUGCUGUUUGGCUUGGUGUCCAGAAGAUGUAAGAAUAUUGAUUGAGACUUGCAAUCGUCGCGUUGAAUUGAUUGAUGUUGAACCCGGAAAAUAUUGGCAUGUGUCUAUUAUGGGAAGGGUAAGCCGAAAGAUCCGAACAAUUUCUUUAAAAUGUUCACAAAUGAAGUCCAAGAGGUUUUCGCCAGCGGUGGUAUCCACUUCAAGAAUCAUUUAGUAAAAAUAAAGUUCAGAUGCUUCAUAGCUGAUGCUCCGGAUUGAUUCCUUGGAGGUAUUCCAAGAGUUUGAAGAAGAUUCUGAAAGACAACGAUCUCUAAGACACUAUCUUAUUAACGUUGGUGGUGUCACAGCUAGAGAUGCUCUCAACCAAUUUCUGAAGGAAGCCAUGACGGAUAGCCUGACCCAAAAAUUCUCUUGGACUGAAAAGUCUGUUUCAGAUAAAGAGAAUCUCCGACCGUUAUUUAAUACCUGUAUCGGAAAGGUAUUUUUUGAUGCCUUACGUAAGUGUCGAACAAUACCACAGCCACAUGAUUGUACAGAAUUUGCGAGACUGAUGCAAGAGGCAAUUCGGGGCGUACAAAAAAGAUUGCGGGAUGCAAAACGACGGGCCAAUCGCUCUGUCCAUAUGGAGGGUCGCAGACAAAAAUAUAUGAUUGAAAUGGCUCAUCGUUACAAGAUUGAACACCCAGGACAAUGACACUGCGGAAUAAGAGACCCACAAUUUGCCUAUUAAAGAUCCUACGGGUAUUCAAACAUACGUACCUAUGUACUUUGUUUGACUAAGAAAUAUUUUAUUACACAUAGCUGUGAUGUUAGUUUUUAUGUUUAUGCUCAAGCAUAGUAUUUAUAAUUGGUACUGCAGCUGUGAUAUCCACAAGUGAUAUGUAACUAUGUUUUCCAAUGAAACAUUAUACCUAUAUCAACAAAUGUGGCGGGUUUGUACUAACAUAGCUAUAAAAUAGCUAACAUUUAGAUACUGUAGACGCUUUUGGUAUCUGGUAUAAAUUUUAGUCUUCUGACAUUUAUAUAAAGUAUUAAUUUUUAUUUUUUGAUUUCAAAUACUUCAUUAUUAUCUACUAUUCUAUUCAUUUGAUAUCAGUUUAUCAAUACUAUUAUAAACUGUAGUUAAUAAUUUUAAGCUACAACGUAUAAAAAAGUAACUAAAGACAUAUUUAUAUUAAUAACUGUACAACGGUAGAAGAGACCCUCUCUUCUAGUCUUGUUGCAGACAUAGAUUUGUAAGUCAGUAUUUUUCUUGUUCAUUUUUGCUCGCGAGUAACUGUAACACUUUUAUAACUAAUUAUCUUUAAGUAAAAGUAAAAUAUAUGCAAACUUAUAUUAUACCUAUAGAUGUAUAUGGGUGUAAUAUAUCAUAUAUUUUACUAUAGCCGCAUAUUAAUAAUAUAUAAUAUAAAUAUUAUUAUAAUUAUAUAGUAUAACGAUUAUAGUCAACGAAUGACCUGCCAUGUUCUGUGAUUUUGAACAUUAUCUCUCUAUCUAAUAAAGAAGUUUCAAACAAAUGAACAGGU